UGGGGAAUAUUGCACAAUGGACGGAAGUUUGAUGCAGCGACGCCGCGUGGAGGGUGUAGGCCUUCGGGUUGUGAACUCCUUUUUCUCGCGAAAAAGGCACAGUUUUGGCUGUGUUGAUGGUAGUGGGGGAAGAAGCGCCGGCUAACUACGUGCCAGCAGCCCCGGUAAUACGUAGGGCGCGAGCGUUGUCCGGAUUUAUUGGGCGGAAAGAGCUCGUAGGUGGUUCGUCGCGUCUGUCGUGAAAGCCAGCAGCUUAACUGUUGGUCUGCGGUGGGUACGGGCGGGCUUGAGUGCGGUAGGGGUGACUGGAAUUCCUGGUGUAGCGAUGGAAUGCGCAGAUAUCAGGAGGAACACCGAUGGCGAAGGCAGGUCACUGGGCCGUUACUGACACUGAGGAGCGAAAGCGUGGGGAGCUAACAGG
rnacentral:rRNA from 1 species